rfam:Triticum urartu cultivar G1812 contig1072234, whole genome shotgun sequence.
CUUGUACUCCCUCCGUUCCGAAUUAUUUGUCGCAGAAAUGGAUGUAUCUAGAACCAAAAAAUGUCUAGAUACAUCCAUUUCUACGACAAGUAAUUCCGAACGGAGGGAGUACCAG